rnacentral:rRNA from 1 species
UACGUAGGAUCCGAGCAUUAUCCGGAGUGACUGGGUGUAAAGAGUUGCGUAGGUGGCAUAAUAAGUAGCUAGUGAAAUCAUGGUGGCUCAACCAUUCAGACUAUUAGCUAAACUGUUAAGCUCGAGACCGUUAGGGGUAACUGGAAUUUCUAGUGUAGGAGUGAAAUCCGUAGAUAUUAGAAGGAACACCAAUAGCGUAGGCAGGUUACUGGGACGGUUCUGACACUAAGGCACGAAAGCGUAGGGAGCAAACGGG